UUUAGGCAAUCAUCAGACGUUUGAAGCGUGCGAAGCAAACGAAAGAAGCUUGCUUCUCUUGAGAGCGGCGGACGGGUGAGUAAUGCCUAGGAAUCUGCCUGGUAGUGGGGGAUAACGUUCGGAAACGAACGCUAAUACCGCAUACGUCCUACGGGAGAAAGCAGGGGACCUUCGGGCCUUGCGCUAUCAGAUGAGCCUAGGUCGGAUUAGCUAGUUGGUGGGGUAAUGGCUCACCAAGGCGACGAUCCGUAACUGGUCUGAGAGGAUGAUCAGUCACACUGGAACUGAGACACGGUCCAGACUCCUACGGGAGGCAGCAGUGGGGAAUAUUGGACAAUGGGCGAAAGCCUGAUCCAGCCAUGCCGCGUGUGUGAAGAAGGUCUUCGGAUUGUAAAGCACUUUAAGUUGGGAGGAAGGGCCAUUACCUAAUACGUGAUGGUUUUGACGUUACCGACAGAAUAAGCACCGGCUAACUCUGUGCCAGCAGCCGCGGUAAUACAGAGGGUGCAAGCGUUAAUCGGAAUUACUGGGCGUAAAGCGCGCGUAGGUGGUUUGUUAAGUUGGAUGUGAAAUCCCCGGGCUCAACCUGGGAACUGCAUUCAAAACUGACUGACUAGAGUAUGGUAGAGGGUGGUGGAAUUUCCUGUGUAGCGGUGAAAUGCGUAGAUAUAGGAAGGAACACCAGUGGCGAAGGCGACCACCUGGACUGAUACUGACACUGAGGUGCGAA
rnacentral:rRNA from 1 species